AAAAAUACUUAUGCGCAAGGAAAGCCAAAAGGCUUUCAGGGAACUGGGUUUAAAACCCGGCUGUACCCGCAACUGUGACGGACGAGAGUCUGCUAUCAAACCACUGAACAGUCAUAAAGCAUUUGUCGUUUAUGAUGAUUUGGGAAGGUUUGCAGACUUUACGACUCCGGAGCCAGGAUACCUGCCUUUGCAAAACAACCAGU
rnacentral:ncRNA from 1 species